GAAAAGCAGAGCUGCACACUGGAGAGGGGGGCUGGGCCCCUGAGAGUUCUGAAGCCAGAACGGGCUCACCUCCUGGCCCUAACUACGCUCCGGGCCUGUGAGGGCAUCCGGUGGGCACCACUAACACGAAUGGGACCAGAGCAGAGGCCGGGUCCUGCUGUCCAUGUCCCGGGGCUGGCAGAGGAGGGAGGCCGGCUCCUCAAGUGAGAGGCAGGAGCACUGUCCCUUCUUCCGCACCUCACACCUCGCACCUCGAGGCUCCAGGCUCCUGCCCAGGGAGGAGCCGGGAGAGGCGGUCUUCGGUUUCACGGUAGCACCCAGCCCUCGACGAUCACGGAGGUCACCGGCCCACCAGGGCAGGGAAGGGUGGACAGCGUGGCUCUCCCGGUGUAUCCCCGGAAGGCAGAAGUGAGAACAGGAUUUCCUAUCUUAUAGGCCAAGCUGAGAGCAGAGGGGGGAGCUUCCCUUGGGGACCAGAGGGUUUCUGGGUCUGCCAGGAGGGGAUGGGCUGUGGCCUUUGGCUCUGCCCCCACUAAGCACCACAGAGGCCUCCUGGGACCAGUGCCGAGCAGUGUGGAUGGCUGGCCAGCGGGUGGUGGGUGGUGCUGGGAUGCCAGCUGCCCCUCUACAGCCACAGGUCAUAGAGAUUUUCACUGAGCCUGUGGACAAGAGGGACCAUCCUCCACAGAGCUGGCAAAGCUGUGAUGACAUCGCAUGGGAGAGGCCUGUCUGAGAAUGAAGCCAACAGAAAGGAAGGCAGCAGUCUUGGGCUGCAGCACUAGAGAGUCUUGACAACAUUGUUUCUAUGCCUGGAUACAGCUGUAUCCUGUAGCAUCCUCACCUCCGGGCUAAUCAGGCAAAUUUGAGGGCAUCAGUCAUUCUCUGGAGGCCUGCCUGCUGGCCAAGAAAGUGCGGUUACUCUGUGAGAAAGUCUGUCCACCCACAGUGGCCCCCGGGGGUCAUCUGGCUCUCAUUGGAGGUCAUCUGAGGGAGAGAGGCUGCUGGCCGGUCAACCUGCACGUCCGACGGCUGUAUCUCACCGGGCACAUCAUUCACCUGGCACUGUGGUUUUUAUUUAUCACUUUCUUUGAACUUGACUGGUGCCAGUUCACCCCCAAGACAGAUGGAGCCGUUUCACGGUGCCCAGAAAAUCGUCUGGUGCUGAGCCAGCUUGAUAAAUUCACUCGAAUGAAUGAAAAUUAGAUUUCUGAGCGUGCUGGGAAGGCUGAACCCAGACGGCAACAAAGUCCCAGGAAAAACCAUCGCCUCAUGAGGGCCAGUCUGGGGGAGCAGCAGGCCUGUGCUGCGUUCCUCCAGGUGUCACAGCCGGCCACGGGCUUUGAGUGCAAACUGCAACCAAAACAAGGGUAUCCCUUUGUUCUGCACUGAACUGUCUCCCUCCAAAUUCGUAUGCUGGGGGCUAACCCCCAAUACCUCAGAAUGUGUCUGUAUGUGGAGACAGGGUCUUUAAAGAGGUACAUGAAUGGGGUGCCUGGGUGGCUCAGUUGAUUAAGCGUCUGACUCUUGAUUUCAGCUUCAGGUCAGGU